AGGUAGAGGAAAAUGUGAUUUGGAGACAUAGACACACAUGGAGUGUGACGAUGGAGGCAGCGAGUGGAGCGAUGCAGCUGCCAGCUGAGGAGUGCCAAGGGUUGAUGGUCACCAUCGGAAGCUAGAGGAGGCAAGGGGGGCUCUGUCUGGAGUCUCAGAGGGACAGCAGCCUUGAUUUUGGACUUCUUGCCUCCAGAAAGCAGAAAUUCGCCUUUCCUGAUCACAUCACACUGAUUCCGGGACCAAGCAGGAUGUCACAGGUGGGGG
rnacentral:lncRNA from 1 species